rnacentral:rRNA from 1 species
GAUGAACGCUGGCGGCGUGCCUAAUACAUGCAAGUCGAGCGAACGGACGAGAAGCUUGCUUCUCUGAUGUUAGCGGCGGGCGGGUGAGUAACACGUGGAUAACCUACCUAUAAGACUGGGAUAACUUCGGGAAACCGGAGCUACUACCGGCUAAUAUUUUGAAACGCAUGGUUCAAAAGUGAAAUACGGUCUUGCUGUCACUUAUUGAUGGAUCCGCGCUGCAUUAGCUAGUUGGUAAGGUAAAGGCCUACCAAGGCAACGAUGCAUAGACGACCGGAGAGGGCGACCGGCCACACUGGAACUGAGACACGGCCGAGACUCCUGCGGGAGGCAGCAGUGGGGAAUUUUGGACAAUGGGCGAAAGCCUGAGCCAGCAACGCCGCGUGUGUGAGGAAGGCCUUCGGGUUGUAAAGCACUUUUGUCAGGAAAGACAUCAUUGGCACUAAUACAGUCGGGGGAUGACGGUACCAGAUGAAUAAGCACCGGCUAACUACGUG